rnacentral:sRNA from 1 species
GCUGGGUGUAGUGGUGUGCAUCUGCAGUCUCAGUUAUUCAGGAGGCUGAGGCAGGAGGAUCUUUUGAGCCCAGGGGUUAGAGGCCAGCCUGAGCAAUAUAGAGAUACCCUGACUCUA